GUCGAGAAUCAUUCACAAUGGGGGAAACCCUGAUGGUGUGACGCCGCGUGGAGGAUGAAGGUCUUCGGAUUGUAAACUCCUGUCAUGUGGGAGUAAAGCCGGGUGUUAAAUGCAUGCCGGUCUGAGAGUACCACAAGAGGAAGGGACGGCUAACUCUGUGCCAGCAGCCGCGGUAAUACAGAGGUCCCAAGCGUUGUUCGGAAUCACUGGGCGUAAAGGGUGCGUAGGCGGCGCGGAAAGUCAGGGGUGAAAUCCCGGAGCUCAACUCCGGAACUGCCUUUGAUACUCCCGCGCUUGAGAACUGGAGGGGAGACCGGAAUUCACGGUGGAGCAGUGAAAUGCGUGGAUAUCGUGAGGAACACUAGUGGCGAAGGCGGGUCUCUGGACAGUAUCUGACGCUGAGGCACGAAGGCCAGGGGAGCGAACGGGAUUAGAAACCCCGGUAGUCC
rnacentral:rRNA from 1 species